rnacentral:rRNA from 1 species
AAUAUUGCACAAUGUGCGAAAGCCUGCUGCAGCAACGUCGCGUGAGUGUUUAAGGCCCNCGGGUCNUNAAGCUCUUUGAUCAGGGNUAUUAUUGACAGUACCUGAAAAACAAGACACCGCUAACCACGUGCCAGCAGCCGCGGUAAUACGUAGGUGGCGAGCGUUGUCCGGAAUUACUGGGCGUAAAGGAUGCGUAGGUGGAUACUUAAGUUGGUUGUGAAAGCCCGCGGCUCAAACCGGGAACUGCAUUCCAAUCUGGGUAUCUAGAGUGAAGGAGAGGAAAGCGGAAUUCCUAGUGUAGCAGUGAAAUGCGUAGAUAUUAGGAGGAACACCAAUGGCAAAGGCGGCUUUCUGGACUGUAACUGACACUGAGGCAUGAAAGCGUGGGUAACAAACAGG